rnacentral:rRNA from 1 species
GUCCUAGCCGUAAACGUUGGGUGCUAGGUGUGGGCGGAUAUCGACCCCGUCCGUGCCGAAGCUAACGCAUUAAGCACCCCGCCUGGGGAGUACGGCCGCAAGGCUAAAACUCAAAGGAAUUGACGGGGGCCCGCACAAGCGGCGGAGCAUGCGGCUUAAUUCGAUGCAACGCGAAGAACCUUACCUGGGCUUGACAUGCAGGGUGAAUCCCGUGAAAGCGGGUGCUCUUCGGAGCCUGCACAGGUGGUGCAUGGCUGUCGU